rnacentral:tRNA from 1 species
GACCUUGUCGAAGACGGGUUCGCCGGGCUUGAUGAGCCCCGUGGCCAGCGCCUUGGUGUCGAGGGCGCGCGGGUCGGUGUCCGCGUGGAGGUCG